UUUUUUUUUACUUGAGGUGGAUUUUGAAUUCGAUUCGGUUGGUGCUGCAAUUGCGCGGGAACUUGAAGGAUCGGUCGUUGAAUUUGUUCGAGAGACGCUGAAUCGGUGUUUUCUUCGUAAGUUUUGUCUGUGGAUGCUGGAUAGUGAAUUCAUAGGUUGUUGACGUUACACGCUGCAAAAUCAGCGACAAUCACUGGAAAGGUAUAGUUUUUCUUUCUUUGUUUUCGUAGGUGAAGUCUAGGUUCGAAUGAAAGACGAGUGAGGAAGACUGAAAUAAUGGGAAGAAGGGUGUACAUGGAUUGGAUCAGUCCCCUUCUCAGGUGAAAAAUUGAGCAAAUCCAGGUGCUGUAGGUUGGGAGGGAGGGAGGGAGGGAUUUGAGUGCUUCUAAGGUGUGGGUGUGUAGAAUGUACUCAUCAUACAGAUGUGUACUCAUCAUACAGAUGUGCGGCAGUUGAUCGGUUUGUCAGGAGAAUUUGAAUUCUGAGAAACUUUGAUCAUUGGGAUAGAGGGUUCUGUCUCUAUGUUUUAUGAGGUGCUGGAAGAGGCAAAACCAUGGAGGAAUGAAGAAGAUGCAGUGAGAUGGCAAGGAACUAGGAAAGGUUGCUCAAUUGUGGAGUCCUUUAACUACAUCUUGACAUUGGCAACUAGGGAGAAUUGAAAACCAAAUUUACUUGGAGGGUGAGAGUAAUAUCAACAUCGGUCGUGUCCAUGGAUAACUGGUUAGGUGGUUAUUUUCUUUUGCCCUGUGAACUGUGGAUAUGAAAAAGAAAUAAUCACAAGAAACACAGAGUUUACAUAUCAGUAGAACAGAGACAAAAGCACAAGAAGCUGAUUGUUGAUUCUGAAUUCUGAGGCUUUUGCAGUAGUUUAGGAUUCUUUUUUUAUCCUUAUGUGCUGUGGUUUUUAAGAAGGAAAAUGACUGAGAAACUAAAACUCCUAGAUGCUUCUUGAAUUUUUGGGUGAAUCCUGAUUAAUGAAAGGUUAACUUCUGAGGUACAAAUAAUAAGACACUGGAAUGAUUAACAUGUAGUUUCUCAUAUUAGUUGCUGUUUUUGCUUUGGUGUUAUUAGAGCCAUAUAGUGUUAGUGGGAUUUGCAUCUGAAUUGCAGGAUGAGUAUGUACUAAUAAUCAUUAGUUGGAAGUUUGUGACCAGUAUGUUAUACUGGACCUGCAAGAUCUUGAUCUUAUAGCUGCAAGAUAUGGAUUCAUUCCAUUAGUAGCUGCAUAUUGAUACUGAAAUAUUUCUACUGUUGGCAACUUGAUGCUGGUUUCUUCCUGAGUUACCUAUUGUCCUUAUAAUUUUUUCUCCUAACAAGUAACAAGAUCUAUUUGCCUCUUUUGUACAAAGCACAUCAUUGAAGUUCUAAUCAUGUAAGAUACUGGUUUUGGUAACUAGGUGCAUUUCAGAUAUGUUGUUUACUUUCUAUUAAGAUGAUUAGUAUUUCAGUCUUCAUUAGUGAAUGAUCUCAAAUAUAUUUAUGUUAUAGUUUGAUUGAACAGCUGUGUGAUUGUUGAGGAUGUGAACAUCAUUCCGGGAGGAAGAAACUGGUGUAGUGAGACAUGAAAUGUUUGUUUAUCAUUGCCAUGAUUAGCCUGCCAGGUGUUCGUUAAAAUUGCCUAGGGAAAAUUGUGUUGAGCAUCUCACCGGAUCCAGAUAAGCAUCUUUUGCGGAUGUAUACUAGAGAUGACAAAUGUAUAUUUGAGAUGAUGUAGAGAGGACCUUAAACAAGCACAGAAGUACAGAUUCUGUACCUGCACUUGUCCUGCUUUAUUCCUGGUCUGAACUCAAUUGGGGAGAGGGCUUGUCAGGCUGUGGACCUCUGAGUCAAUGAUGGAAUUUUGUAUUGGUGUGUGGUGAGGUACUGCUUGGGUGGUGCAUCAAUUAGACUCCACUGAAACACGAUUUUCCCAUAUGGGCAGUUUAUGCUAGUUUUGUCUGGAGAAUUCUGUGGUCUCCUAGUGAACAUGCAUGCUCCAAAAAAAUCCUUUUUUAACCUGGUCAUCUGUCAAAACACUUGGGUAUGGAUAGUGCUCCAUACUUUUUUGGAAAAUGACUUCCACCUUUAAAAUUAGGAAGUCAUUUUCCUUAUUUUUAAAUUGGUAUUUUCUGGUCGACUGAAGUCAUUUCUCUUUGACCAGCUUAUUUUUCCACACCAAACACUAAAAAAUGGAAAUAGAAAUUUUCUGGCAAAAUAUUUUCCUUCAAACAAAUAGAGCCUAAGUCAAAAUUGAGUUUCAUCUUUCCAAACUACCUUUGAUCAUAGUAGAAAUAUAAUUGGUCUUUAAGGACCACAUACUUUAUAAAUAAAUGCUCGCUUGCAUUAUGCAUAACCACCUAAUUAUGCACGCGUGCAUCCCCUUUAAACUUUUUUUUUCUUAUCAUUAGUUCCCCUUAAACCAGGUUAACUAUAUAUAUCCUAAAAUCAAUUUCUGUAGUUCUUUCUUCUAUCAUUUGUUUUUUUUAUUUUAAUUCUUUCUCUCCACCUUCUUUCUUUGAUAACUCCAUUGAUGCCAUUUUCAAUAUCUCGAUUGCUCAUUUUUCAUCCGACACCAACGAGCCUUGACGAGUGGAAGAUUGCCACUUGCAAAUGGAGCCGGCAAACAGAGGAAGUUCUUCAUAAAACAGCCUAGCGAACUGAAGGUGACGGAGACUGGCGAGUGGAGGCAAUGGACUACCACCACCGACCAAAGCCAUGGAAACUGAUAACAUAGCUUGGGGUGAACGAUUCUCUCAUGAGGUUCUGGGUUUUAUGCAGCUUGCUAUAGAUCAGCUGUGUGAUUGUCGAGGAUGGGAACGUUAUUGUGGCAGGAAGAAACCGGAUAACAUCCUGUGUGUCCUGCCCACGGGGACAACAGGAGCAGAGGAUCCUGUCGUCAUGAUGAGAUUUCGCACCGUUUUCCCAAAUCUCAGAUGCUCCUGCACACGUUCAUUUCCUUCUUCAUGGCUCAGUUCAUCCGAAACCUGCACCCAUCUCUCCAAGCGCUUCUUCAGAUGUGCGAGUCAUGCGACCCGUGACGGUUCCACAGUCUCUGGACACCUUAGGAAUGAAAACCUAGAUGAAACUUGGGAAGUUCUGGACAAAUUUCAAUGCCCAGAUGUUCGUUCAUUUACGAAGAUGAUCGUGGGUUGUGUGCGAACUGGCCGCCUUGAUGACGCCCUGAAACUGUUCUACGAAAUGCCCGUGAGAGAUGCAAUUUGCUGGAACACGAUGAUCAAAGGCUGCUUGGAUUGUGUGGACUUGACGACGGUGGAAGAGCUUUUCCAUGAAAUGCCUGAACCAAGUGUUGUGUCGUGGACGACGAUGAUAGAUGGGUUCUUUCAAUUUGGACAGGUUGAGCAGGCAGAGGUAUUUUUCAAGCAGAUGCCCAUAAGAGAUCUUGCUGCAUGGAAUGCGAUGAUUCAUGGGUAUUGUGAGAAUGCCAGAAUGGACGAUGCUGUGAAAUUGUUUGAGCAAAUGCCUUCCCGAAAUGUGAUCUCAUGGACUUCGAUGAUUGGCGGGCUUGACCAAAAUGGUAAGAGUGAAGAAGCUUUAAAUGUAUUUGAGAGAAUGUUCAAGUCUGGUGUUGUGCCCAAUCCGAGUACUUUGACGUGUGCAUUGAGUGCCUGUGCAAAUGCAUUGUCUUUUCCCCUUGGCGUGCAGAUUCAUGGUCACAUUCUCAAGUCAGGAUUCAGCCUUAGCGUAUUUGUAUGUGCUUCUCUCAUCACGUUCUAUGCUAACUGCAAGCGAAUUGAGAAAGCAACCCAAGUUUUCUAUGAUGCAGUGCAUAGGAAUGUGGUCAUAUGUACGGCUCUUCUAACUGGUUAUGGCUUGAAUGGUAGGCAUGAAGAUGGCUUGAAGGUGUUCAGUGACAUGAUGAGAAAGAGUGUUCUUCCUAAUCAAUCUUCAUUUGUAAGCGCUUUAAAUUCUUGCUGUAGUUUAGAGUCUCUAGAUCGAGGUAAGGAGGUCCAUGCGUCAGCUAUAAAGCUGCAAUUGGGAAGUGAUGUAUUUGUUGGCAAUUCUCUUGUAGUCAUGUAUAGUAAGUGUGGAGUUGUUGAUGAUGCUGUUGUAGUGUUCAAAAGACUCAGGGAGAAGAAUAUCGUCACCUGGAAUGCCAUUAUUUGCGGGUGUGCACAACAUGGCCGAGGGAUGUGGGCUAUGGAGUUGUUUAGCCAAAUGAUACGCAGACUGGUACAACCAGAUGAGAUCACACUCACGGGACUGCUUUCUUCAUGUAGUCAUUCUAUGAUGUUACAAAAGGGGAGAUGCUUGUUCAGAUAUUUUAAUGAGAACACUUCUAUUGAAUUGAAACACGAGCAUUAUGCUUGUAUGGUGGAUGUGCUAGGACGAUGUGGGAAGCUAGAGGAAGCAGAGGAUUUUGUCAGAAACAUGCCCCUUAAAACUAACUCCAUAGUGUGGCUUGCUUUGCUUAGUUCUUGCAGGAUGCAUUCUAACCUAGAUUUGGCAGAAAGAGCUGCAAACUAUAUUCUUGACCUAGAACCACAUUGUAGUGCUGCUUAUGUUUUAUUGUCCAACUUCUAUGCUUCUGCUAAUAGAUGGGGUGAUGUCUCGCGAUUAAGAGUGACUAUGAGGGAUAAAGGGAUUGUGAAGCAACCGGGUAGAAGUUGGGUUACUAUAAAGGGGGAAAAGCAUUUAUUUCUUUCCGGGGAUAAAUUCCACCCUUUGAGUGAGAACAUAUAUUGGAAGUUGGAUUGGUUGAAUAUGAAGUUGAAGGAAUUGGGUUAUGUUCCAGAUAAGAGGUUCUCUCUCCAUGACGUGGAAGAUGAACAGAAGGAACAGUCAUUAUUUUACCAUAGUGAAAGGCUUGCUGUUGCAUUUGCAUUGAUUACUACUAUCGAGGGUAGUACGAUAACUAUGAUGAAGAAUCUUCGCAUUUGUGGGGAUUGUCAUUCUGCAAUUAAACUUAUUGCAAAGAUAGUUGAUCGUGAGAUUGUUGUGAGAGAUUCCAGCUGCUUUCAUCACUUCAGGAGUGGCAUUUGCUCUUGUGGGGAUUAUUGGUAGCAAGGGCAUAAGGUUAUUUCUCCUAUCAUGAACCUGUAAGCAUCCUGAAUUUGCUCAGUAUGUUAAGCAUUGAUGAGAGUGGAUCAGCUAACACAAGCACUAUCUAAUAUGGGCUUGCUUUUAUGAUGUAAUAGACAAUGAAUUCAUGUGGAAUCCAUGGCUUUUUUUUAUCAGCUUUGGUUUAGUCUAGGAGUCCAAGGGAGUUCAAGUAUUUCUCAGUUGUAUGAGUUGGGCAUGUGGAAAGUUGGAGACUUGGGAGGAAAUCUUGCAUUGGAUGGCAUUGCCAUCCACCGGCUCCCAUUGCCAUCCACCGGCUCCAUGCAGGGAUUUCUAUUGAGAAUUGAGUAUUAUCACUUUGCUUAUGGCUUUGAUCCCACCAUAAAAAAAAGAAACUAUUCACAAGUAAGAUAUCCCUUCCGCAGAAUUAAAUUAAGUGAGAACCCAGAGCCUUGGAAAUAGCUACUUUCCAUCUCUCUUGCAGAGAGGUAGAAAUUGCGGCAUUUAGAGAGAAGGAGGUACUGCUUGGUGUAAUAAAAGAGAGGUCCAUCAGAUGCAACAAAAGCUUCUUCAUCUUUGGAUGAAAUUCGACUUCACCUAAUGUUCUCUCACAAUUUUGCUGGAUCUCUUCAACAAAUCGACAGUACCGAGUUUCGGUUGUGCUUACCAAGUUUAACACUUUUCACAAAUGGAAUUAGGAACCAACAACUCACAACUUUAUACAGAAAAGGAUCAUACAGACAUGACCCAUACCAAAAUGAUGGUCACUGACGAGAGGAAUCGGGCAUUCAAACUGAUGGUAUGCUUCUUUGCUGCGUUUGAUGACAGUGGCCACUGAAGAGAGGAAUCGGGCAUUCAAACUGAUGGUCCAAGGAUCGGUCUCUAAGCUCAGAGGCGCUGGUUUGAUUGCGGCACUUGUUUAUCCAAGUAUGUUUCUGUUCCUAUGCUUGAGUGAUUAUGGCUUGCAUGAGUGAUGGUGAUCCAGUAGGGAAUGGAGAGGCCGAUAAUGAAAUUGAAUUGGUUCCGUGGUGAACCGAGACUGUGAUGGAGAUCCGGAGAUGGUUGCUGGCAGCAGACGUUGAGGGGAAGGAAGUUUCCCAGAAGGAAGUUGACAUCUAUGGAUCUCAAGGUUUCACUGGCAAUAUAGUUUUAUUGUAUUUAUUGAUGACACGCUUCAUUAAGCUUUUUGAAUAAGGUGUAGAAAUCAUCUACUCAGUAAAAUCUGACAGCAUAUGAGUGGUUUCAAAUAUUGGAAAAGUUCCAUUCGAUGCUCC